ACAUUCUUAAAUUAAGAAUUAAGAAAAACAUUUCAAAGGAAUCGGAUUUUAAAAUAAUAGUCCAUUCUAUUGGCGGACUUGUUACUAUGCUUAUAAGUCACGAACGGCUGGUCUGGUUUUUACAAUUCACACUAUUUCGGAAUGGUCUCGUGGCCGGGAAAGGAUAAAAUCAAAAAUAUCACUUAAAAAUACGCUAAGAAAAAUGGCGAAUUCAAAAUAUAUUUUGACAGAAAACUUGGUCGUCAGAUGGUCUUACUGGCCGACCUUAUAUAGGCCUUGGGCCAUGGUACCAUGGUCGGAACUUGAUAUGUCAAAAUUGUAAGCAAGGCGAAUUUACUUGACACAUAAAAUUUGAGUCAAAUUGUUUUGCACCAAUCAGAACAUUUCAUUUUGAAACAUUGAGUAAUUUUGCUGUGUUAUUAUUUACUUUUAAAAAAUAUAUUUUUUUGCAAGGAAAUUUUGUUUAAAAGCAAACAAAAAGUCGAAGACCCGAAAUAAGGCAAGAAACCAAGAAACAAUCCCUAAAAAUGAGUAUAAAUUGCAAUAACUGCUACUCCAAAUAAUUGAUUUUCUGUGGAUGUAUAAAAAAUCUAUAUUCGUUCAACACACCAAUCCUUCAACACAUCGAUUUUUAAAGAAAAUUUCCGGUUCCCGAAUUAUGGAUUUUUGAAGAACAUUCUGGGCUUUUUUUAGAAAGCAUAUUUGCAUAUCUCAUAUUGGAAUUUUUUGAUUUUUUUAGACCUAAAUUAUUUAUUAUUAUUUUUGAAAUGAGAAACAUUUUUUUAUCUCAAAGUCUUAAAGCAUUACUCUAUCAAUAAAAGUGCAUGCCAAAUAUUA